rnacentral:rRNA from 1 species
AGCGAACGCUGGCGGCAGGCCUAACACAUGCAAGUCGAACGAAGUGCCGGACGGGUGAGUAACAGGUGGGAACGUGCCUUUAGGUUCGGAAUUACUCAGGGAAACUUGUUAUAAUACCGAAUGCCUUUAGAGCGGCCCGGCUCUGAUUAGCUAGUUGGUGAGGUAAAGGCUCACCAAGGUGGCGAUCAGUAGCUGGUCUGAGAGGCUGAUCAGCCACAUUGGGACUGAGACACGGUCCAAACUCCUACGGGAGGAAGCAGUGGGGAAUCUUGCGCAAUGGGCGAAAUGCUGACGCAGCCAUGCCGCGUGAAUGAUGAAGGUCUUAGGAUUGUAAAAUUCUUUCACCGGGGACGCGGUACCCGGAGAAGAAGCCCCGGCUAACUUCGUGCCAGCAGCCGCGGUAAUAC